CUUGUGGAACACUCACAGAACAAGUUACUCACAAUCCAAGGUUUUACUAUAUAUAUUUUAUUUGUUUGUUUGCAAAAGUCUGUUCCUAUCUUUUGCUCAUUCUAAAAUUAGGUUGUCCUUUUAUUGCUGAAUUUGAGGGUUUUUUUAAAACAUAUUUUUGACAGAAAUCCCUUAUCAGACAUAUGACUUGUAAAAAACUUUUCCCAUUCUGUGAGUUGUCUUUUCAUGUUCUUGAUGGUUUUCUUAGAAGCAGUGAAGUUUUUUAUUUUGAUGAAGUCUAAUUUAUAAAUUUUUGCUUUUGUGGCUUUUGCCUUUGGUGUCAUAUGUCAAAUGUAUCUGUAAUAUAUUUUAGUAAAUGGUAUGAAGAAGGCAUCUAACUUUUAAAAAUAUACCAAUUAACUCAGUACCUGUCCACACUAUUACUAUAGUCUAAUGCCUCUAUAUAAUUAGGUCUGAUUUAGCCUCGUUGUCAAAGCUUUGUUAGUUUCUCUUAAGGCAACCCCCAACAUAGCCUGAGUUCAAAAAAAAUAGUGAUACCUAUAGUUUUGCUUCUGCCCACCUUUGUAUAGCCAGGUGUCUCACACUCUAAGGCAUUUAUUAAAUAUUUGUUGAAUUGAACCUAAUUGAGUUGAAGCGAAUUGAAUUAGAAAACAGUUUUAGGAAAGAGAAGUAUCAACAAUCAUGGAAUAGCCAACACUGUGACCCAGCACUGUUCACCUUGUUUUUCCAUUUCUGCUGAGGUCAUCUCUGCUCUUGCCAAAACUGCUUUUCAACACAUUUUCUGUUGUUGUUGGUUUUUUUUAAUUUUUGUUUUAAUUCUAGUUAGCCAACAUACAGUACAAUACUAGCUUCAGGUACACAACCCAGCGAGUCAAUACCUUUUCAAUACAAUUGUGGUAAUCAUUAAUGUUGUGUGCCAAAUAUUUCCAGUUCUCUCUACUCUCAGACCCUCCUGUGGUUAAGUGCGAACACAUGCCUAGUUUCAGUAAAUGCACUGUGACUGGAAGUACCAUGUGUCUGGGACAGAGUUUGUCACUUGGUACCCUCCAGAGUUCUCUUCUCUCCAGCAAUGUCCAAAAUGGUGGCUGCUCUAUCAGCCUGAGUCCCUGAAUGACUAAGGUUAGUAGAGCUCCUCUGUCAACCCAGUGGAUGGGUAGCAUGAGCAAAAAAUAAAAACCUUUUAAGAC